ACAGAUCGCAAGCUAAAUCAUCCAUCUUAGGAGAGAUGGAGUUUCGCCAUGCUGCCCAGGCUGGUCUCCAACUCCUGAGCUCAAGUGAUCUGCCCGCCUCAGCCCCGCAAAGUGCUAGGAUUACAGGCGUGAGCCACCACACCUGGCCUAGAACCAUAAUUUCAAUAACAAUGAAUUUAGUUAUUUAUUUUUUGAGACAGAAUUUUGCUCUUGUCACCCAAGCUGGAAUGCAAUAGCACAAUCUCGGCUCACUGCAACCUCCGCCUCCUGGUUCAGAUGCUGUUGACUGGGGCAAAGAAUAAUGGGAGAAAAACAGCUGGGUCCUAAAUAACAGAGGGAAACCAACUUUCAAUAAAGUAUUCAACAACU
rnacentral:lncRNA from 1 species